CAGCUUCACUAAUUUGCACUUGUCUUUACUGAAUUCAUUUUUCUUGUCUUCAGACUACAACCGUAGCUCAUUAAGACAGCUAUAAGUGAGGAGACGAGUGAAUUAUCAGCAACACUUCUGGUCGCACUUGCAUCCUUUGCAAUCUACCACUCAAUUCACUACAGAAAGUAGACCCUAAGCAGAACACUCAAAACACCCUUUUGAUCCUACAGCAAACUGUUUUUGAGGUCUGCAACCCCUCCAUCCCUUACGACAAACCACUGCACCAGGCGGUAGCACAGCUCAGAGCUGGUAACUCAUACAGCGUAAAUAAAGAUGGAUGAGUUCUGCAGUCAAUCCAAGCUUUCUUAAAACUUAUUAUCCAUUCAUCAUCAAGGAUCACAGUCACCUUCUGAUUUUUC
ensembl:lncRNA